rnacentral:misc_RNA from 1 species
AGCAGCCGCGGUAAUUCCAGCUCCAAUAGCGUAUAUUAAAGUUGUUGCAGUUAAAAGCUCGUAGUUGAAUUUCGGAGUUCUACCGUCGGUCGGGCUACCAAGUCUGUACUGGUGUGUAGAAUUCCUACCUUCUGGGGAACUAUCAUGUUAUUAAUUUAGCGUGGUGGGAAACCAGGACCUUUACCUUGAAAAAUUAGAGUGUUCAAAGCAGGCUUAUGUCUGAAUACAUUAGCAUGGAAUAAUAGAAUAGGACGGUGGUCCUGUUUGUUGGUUUCUGAAUCACCGUAAUGAUUAAUAGGGAUAGUUGGGGCAUUAGUAUUCAAUUGUCAGAGGUGAAAUUCUUGGAUUUAUUGAAGACUAACUUCUGCGAAAGCAU